CACGUAGGGUGCGAGCGUUGUCCGGAAUUAUUGGGCGUAAAGAGCUCGUAGGCGGUGUGUCGCGUCGGCCGUGAAAACCUGCAGCUUAACUGUGGGCUUGCGGUCGAUACGGGCAUCACUGGAGUUCGGCAGGGGAGACUGGAAUUCCUGGUGUAGCGGUGAAAUGCGCAGAUAUCAGGAGGAACACCGGUGGCGAAGGCGGGUCUCUGGGCCAAUACUGACGCUGAGGAGCGAAAGCGUGGGGAGCGAACAGG
rnacentral:rRNA from 1 species